UACAGAGGGGGCAAGCGUUGUUCGGAAUUACUGGGCGUAAAGAGCUCGUAGGCGGCCUGUUGCGUCUGCUGUGAAAUCCCGGGGCUUAACCCCGGGCGUGCAGUGGAUACGGGCAGGCUGGAGGCAGGCAGGGGAGAAUGGAAUUCCCGGUGUAGCGGUGAAAUGCGCAGAUAUCGGGAGGAACACCGGUGGCGAAGGCGGUUCUCUGGGCCUGUUCUGACGCUGAGGAGCGAAAGCGUGGGGAGCGAACAGG
rnacentral:rRNA from 1 species